CUUCUUUUUUUUUUGUCCCCUCUCCGUUUCCCCUCUGAAAGUAAGUGAAGCCUGGGCAGAUGAACCUCACGAAAUGUCUGGGCACCUUCCUCGUCAUUUCGAUGUCGAGGAAACCAUGAACUGCUUGGCAGAUGAACCUCACGAAAUUGUGGCAGCCGAAUAUCACAGAGAUAUAUAUGUGUAAGAUGACGCAGUGACACACACAGAGCGAAGAGAAGAAAGCUAGCUUCAUCUUGCCUUGCAUGCCUAGUGAUCACCAAAUCCUCCUAA
rnacentral:lncRNA from 1 species